AGUCCAGUCGGGGAGUCCGGUAUAAAUAGAACAGCGCUAUCGAACCCUAGCUAGCUCUGCCUCCUCCUUCUUCUUCUUCUUCUGUUCACUCUCUUACUGAUCGGGAGCCUUCACAACUCUAUUCGCCCAGGUUCUUAUACUUUGAUAAAGAUGUGUGAAUUCAGCCACGGGAAUAGAGGAAUUAAUUGAUGCAAAAGAGGAUUUUAAUGAAAUCGGUAAUUGGAGGUACUAUGAUUCAAUCUUUAUGAAAGUCAUAUUUUGUAUGUUCAUAAAUUUAUAUUCUUUUCUCACAAUAUUGAAUUCUUUUGUAUGCUCAUCAAAGUUUCUGAUUAGUAUUGCUCAAAGAGUGACUCUGCUUUUAGAUUUAGGGGUUGUGACCACUUAUUCAAAUAGAAAAUUAUAUAGUAGCACCUAACCAAAGAUAUAAACACAAAUAAUGACACAAGCUCAGGCCAAAAACCAAAUGAAGCAGGUCUGGCUUCGAAUUUUGAUAGAAAAUGACUAAAAUGCUUAGUUUUCAUUACAAUUUACGCUCAUGCCACUGGGCAUAAUACUCAACGACCGAAACCAAAAAUCCCAAAACGCAAAAUGCAAAACGCCCAAAUCCAAAUCAGAAACCCUAAAAUCUCCAGCGUUGGAUCCAAAACGCACUGCAAGAUCUCCGAAGCAGUAGCACUCAGCUUGAAUCUGGCUCCAAUGGAGGUUGGUAAGGAAAAAUUGGGAACACAUCAAGCAAAGCAUUGAGACUAUCAUUUGCUACUGUGGUUAAAUUGCCUUCCACGACGUGCUUCAUAAAGUGUAUGAGCAGCUCAAUCGUGAAAAAAAGAUGGGAUUGAAAGCCGAGUUGAAGAAGACGCCAUUUUGGAACUUGAUUGAAGCUUAUGAUAAGAGAUUGAUGACUAAGAACACAGCUGCAAAAUCAGAUCGAGAGAUGCAUAGGUUAGUGCAAUGCCGGCUUUGAAGAAAUUUAAGUUUGGAAACAAGUUGGCAGAAAUAAGUGUAUCGGACGUGCAAUACAUUUAGGGUUUGCCAAACCGAAAAUCAGCUAUCACGAUGCCAAACCCAAUAGAUGAUCCUAAUAAGCUGACUGAUCAUCCUCUUGUUCGAAGGUUCUUUCCAAAUGACCAAAGGAUAAAAAAAAGCAAGAAUCAUGAGCUGUAUUGAUGAGCAGUUAAGGGAAAAAGCUCCGGGGUGGAUAGAGAACAUGACAAAGUUGUUGCUACUGCAUUUGUUCAUCACGCUACUGUUUGCAAGCUCGGGGUCAACCUUAGGAUGGAGUUUCGUGAAAUGCAUCACGGAUAUUGAGACAAUGAAGGGAUAUAAUUGGGCAUCCGCUAUUAGUGACUAUUUGCUAUUGUGUUUGCAAGCUGCUACAAAGGGAAAAGCAAGGCAAAUCAGUAGAUGUGUAACAUUAAUCCCGUAUUGGAUAUCCGAGAGGAGUACUAUGCUUGUUGAAAUUGAAGGCAGAGAAGCAAUGACUCCAGGGUGCGUCAAGUGGAGUCUUCCUCAAUUCACAAAAGAAUUGCAGAAAAUGCAAGUUGAUGAAAUAGAGGUGAUGGAUUGAUAAUGCAGUUGCCAACAACAAUAAAAGCAAACAUGGCGAGGAAAACAGCGACGAUGACUUUGAGAACCCUCCAUCAAAGCAUGCUGCUACUGCACAGGCAAAGGGGCAGAAAAGGAAAGGAACCAGAUCAAAUGGAAAGGAACGAAAAAGCUGUUACUGAGGCUGAUAAAGCUUAAAGGAACGAAAAAGCUGCUACUGAGGCCGGUGCAAAUAUUACUGAUCAAAUACUAAAAAACAUUGUAGAAGAGAUUGUGAAUGAAGCUGAAAGGAACGAAAAAGCUGCUACUGAGGCCGGUGCAAAUAUUACGAAUCAAAUCCUAAAAACCAUUGUAGAAGAGAUUGUGAAUGAAGAGUACAAGAGCAUGUAUGAUUUGCAUUUAUAUGGAAUGAUCCAGCUUGGUUCAAGGAAUGGGAAGACUUGUUGCAGAGUGAGUAUGACGAAUUUGGCUAUCCAGACACUGAUGAAGAACAUAUCAACACAGUGGAGCAUUGGCAAGAUGUAGCAAUGUUGAAACAAGAUAUGGCGGGAAACGCUAUUGAGAGCUGCAAGAGGAAGCAAGCUUAUAUGGAGAGGUUGUGGGAUGAAAAAGAAGAUGUGUGAAUUUAGCCAUGGGAAUAGAGGAAUUAAUUGAUGCAAAAGAGGAUUUUAAUGAAAUCGGUAAUUUGGAGGUACUAUGAUUCAAUUUUUAUGA